UACGUAGGUGGCGAGCGUUGUCCGGAUUUACUGGGCGUAAAGGGCGUGCAGGCGGUUUGUUAAGUGCAGGGUGAAAGCCCCCGGCUCAACUGGGGAGGGUCAUUCGAUACUGUUCGACUCGAAGGCAGGAGAGGGAAGUGGAAUUCCCGGUGUAGUGGUGAAAUGCGUAGAUAUCGGGAGGAACACCAGUGGCGAAGGCGACUUCCUGGCCUGUUCUUGACGCUGAGGCGCGAAAGCUAGGGGAGCAAACGGG
rnacentral:rRNA from 1 species